rnacentral:sRNA from 1 species
UCCUAGCCCAGAUAAAAGUGAAAAGCCCACAGUAUAAAACGUUAAUUUUUCUUGUUAUAAAAGAGCGACCAACGGAAGCUCCUUUUAUAAUUUAGAAAAAUAAUGUUUUAUGCGAGGACUUGUAACGUAUAGCUGGAUUUAGC